ACAAGGACAGUCCCUUCCUGCUGAGAACUCCAGGUCACAUUAGAAAUCAACACGGAGAUGGUAGAAUUGCUGUGGUAAAGAUCACCUAGUUCUUGAAACUUGCUGAAAAUAGAACUGGAUAUCAACACUGAGAUUGGAUGAGUAUUGGAGUCCUGGGUUCCUGGAAGAAGAACACUUGUACCAAGGGACAAAUGCAGCAGGGUGUUUAAAUGUUAAGGAAUGACUAUCAGUCAACUGACCAGGGAGCCUCCACCCAGUGGCUGAUGGAAGCAAAGGCAGACACCCACAGCUACACUGAACUGAACUCUGGAAUCCAGUUGCAGAGAGGGAGGAGUGAUGAGCAAAGAGAUCAAGACCGAGCUGGAAGAGCUGACCUGAACAAGGGAAGCACAUGGAACCAAGACUGCUGUAUGGGAGGCCAGCAUGGGACUGAUCCAGACCCCUGAACUCGGGUGUCAGUGAGGAGGCCUUGGCACUCUAUGGGGCCUCUGGUAGUAGGUCAGUAUUUAUCCCUGGAGCAAGAAAAGACUUUGGGAGUUCUCUCAGCCUGGACACAUAGGAGAGGGCCUAGGCCCUGCCCAGGAUGAUAUGACAGACUUUGGGGAUCCCCUUUGGAGGUCCUUACCCUCCCUGGGGAGCAGAGGGGAGGAUGAGGUGGGAGGUUGGUGAAGAGUGAGGGAGGAGAGGAGGGAGAGUUAACAGGGAUUGACACGUGAAGCAGGCUUGUUUCUAAUUUGAACUAAUAAAAAAUAAUUGAAAAAAACAAGUUAGAAAGAGCCAAGGCUCAAGAUCUCUAUUCAUUAUACAAAAAAAAAAGAGCCUGCUAUCCAUGGAAAGUUUUCUCAUAGUAGAGCCAGGUGCACUCUUCAGGAGGCAUCUGCCAUGUUUUAUGAGCAGAGUCUCUCACUGGGCUGCAACUUGCCAAAUAUGUGAGGUUGACUACCCAGGGAGCCACGAGAAUCUGCCUGUUUCUGCCUUCACAGAGGUGGGAUUACAACUUCCUUCUAUGAUAAGAAUCGAACUCGGCCUUUCAGGUUUGCAGAGCAAGACCUUUACUGAUAGAGUAAUCUCUCUAACGAUCCCCACAGUAUCUUUUAACACAUGUAAACAUUUUGUAACUAUAUAUUGUGGGUUGGGUUAAUCUUUACUUAUUUCUCCAAGAAUUUAUCUUCCCUCUAUAUCUCUAACUCUACCUUUGUGUAUGUGUGUCCACAUGUGUGUGAGAGUACAUGCUCAUGUAUCUGUAGAGAGGCCAGAGGUCCAUACUGGGUUUAAUGCUGGGAUUAUAGGUAUAUGCUACUGUGCCUUACUUUUUCUGUAGAUGCUAUGAAUCUGAAUGUGGGUCUUCAUGCUUGCAUGAUAAGCAUUUUACACACUGAUCCAUAUCUCCAGGUCUCCAUCAUUUUUUACAAUAAAAAC
rnacentral:lncRNA from 1 species